GUAUGUCCGUGAAGGUAUUCCCCGCUCAUCUGAAUUGGUGGAUUCAGUAAAGUAGACUGCCCCACCUCCACUGUGGCUUGGAACACGAAAGCAAUGCUUGAAGGAGCAGUAGCCAUCUUGCCUGAGGCUGAGAGUCUUCAAGUACCAACUAUUCAAGAUACACAUUGAAAAAUCAAUUGGUCAUUGGAAAGGAUUCUUUUACAAUUAAGAAUUUCAUUGUUAGAAUAUCUGCCCACGUGGAGCCAUGUGUCUUAAGUAAGUCAUGAUUGUUUUUAUACAAAACCGAAAGAUGAACUGCUCUGUAUCUUGAAUACUCAACAAUUUUUUUUUACUUUUUCUCACAAGAAUGAGAAUUUCUGCUGAGCACUAUGAUUAAAUAGAAUAAACAAAAUCAUAAUAUUUACAUGUAUUUUUCUCUUCUUUCUCUCUUCUCACAAGACAUUCACUCCUUCCAUGUUUAUUUAAUAGUUCUAAAUUCCCAGAUAAUUCUCAAGUCUUUUGCUCACAUGCCAAUGACUGAUAAUUAUUUAGCCAUCAGUGUAUUUCCCCACCGACUUCUGACAAGAGACACCUCUUCUAAACCCUAGAAAAAGAUUUAGAGAGUCCACCUCAGCUGAUCUUCUAUGAAAGAAAGAAGCAAUUAAUAAUUUAUCUUAAUGUGAUUUUCGUUUGAGAGGAAGAUGAUUUGCCACCGAGCUAACAUCAUCUUGAUAUAAGAACGGAGCAGUUCUUAUCUUCAUUUUAUUAUUUAUUGGUGGGGAAAUUGAAGCCCAGAUACAGCAGAGAACAGUUAAUUGGCCCGAAGUUACACUACAAUUGUGGCAAAGCUAGAUUCAGAAUCCAAGAUGGAGCUCAGAUACUAAUCCUAGGAUGUCUUCCAAAAGAUUGUUCUUUCUUCUCUCCCUUGCCAUCAAGACGGCAAGAGAAAUAUUCUUAUAUGUAACAAAAUAUGAAAACACAACAUUCACAUAAUUAUAAAAUAUCCAUAAAGUUAUCCAUGUAUGUUAUGUACAUUCUAGAUAAAUUGUCUCAUUGCCUACAUAAAAUUUUGGAAAAGAGACAGAUAAAAUAGCUUAAAAGAUAAAAAUUAUACAAGAUAGUAGAAUUCAUUAGGAAUAUGACACAUAAUUUCACCAGUACCAACCACUGCACACUUUUAAAAACAGUCACUGCUCUGAAGACUAUUUUUUUAAGUUUUCUAAAAGAAUUUAGUAAUUUAAAAUGGAACAGUAAAUGGGCCAGAUCUCAGGAGAACAACAUCUCCUUAAAUUCAUAGAAAGUUGUGAUUUGCAUUUGGGCUCCAAUAGGAUGAAUUUGCAAAAUGGCGUUUUUGUUAGUGGUCAUAAUUAAUAUUCUUGUUAGAGCUCUAGGAACUCCAGGAGUAUAUAUUUGUUCUUAAAAGCGGCUUAAAAUCCCAAAUUUUCAAACUCUCUUGCUCUGGUCUACAUACAGUUUUUUUCACUGAGCACAUAGGACAGUUGUACAUAUCUGUACAAUGUAAGUACAGGUACCUGUACUUCAUGUGAGAUGAAACUGGUGUCAUAAUAAAAAUCUUCCAUUCUAACAAUGAAGUAUAUGUCUCUCUUCGACAUCUAUGCCCAAACCAUUCGAAGUACUAUUUACGUCAUUGUGGGACACUAGUAGCUUUGGUAUUGUCAUCUGCCUUUCGUGUGCCUAUUUUCUUUUUAUCAUAAGCUCUUGUAUCUACUAGACCAUAGUGCAAUAAUAUCCUAAUACAGACUGACAAAACUUGUCCUUAUGAUUCACAGCUCACAUUUCUAUUUUUGUUUGGCUUUCGCUAUUACAUUACAACCACC